GGAAGAACAGGUUUAGAACUUCAAAGAUUGUGACAAAUACAAUGCGACUUUGCUUAAAAUCACACCAGAGUAGCCACGAACAGCAAAAAUAGCAAAUUCUAGUUACAAGUCGGCGUAGCUCAAGGCCCUUGAAGGCCUGAUAGAAGAUGAGCAAGGCAAUGGAGGAGCCAAUGGAGGCUUGGGGUUGAAGAGUGGUCACUGGAGAAGAUCGGAGAAGGGAGGUGGUUGAAAGGGGGUUAGGGUUAGCUUGAGAGAAGAAAGGAAAUGCAAGAAUCUGAGGGCGGUG
rnacentral:lncRNA from 1 species